rnacentral:rRNA from 1 species
CCUACGGGUGUCUGCAGUGGGGAAUAUUGCACAAUGGGGGAAACCCUGAUGCAGCGACGCCGCGUGAAGGAAGAAGUAUCUCGGUAUGUAAACUUCUAUCAGCAGGGAAGAAAAUGACGGUACCUGACUAAGAAGCCGCGGCUAACUACGUGCCAGCAGCCCCGGUAAUACGUAGGGGGCAAGCGUUAUCCGGAUUUACUGGGUGUAAAGGGACUGUAGACGGAAGAGCAAUGCUGAUGUGAAAGGCUGGGGCUUAACACCAGGACUGCAUUGGAAACGGUUUUUCUAGAGUGCCGGAGAGGUAAGCGGAAUUCCGAGUGUAGCGGUGAAAUGCGUAGAGAUUAGGAGGAACACCAGUGGCGAAGGCGGCUUACUGGACGGUAACUGACGUUGAGGCUCGAAAGCGUGGGGAGCAAACAGGAUUAGAUACCCGAGUAGUC